AGGCUUCGUGGGCUCUUUGGACCUGAUGUUGGCAGUGAUGAAAAGGCACCAGGGAAGCUUAGUGAAGACAUUUUAGUUCUUAAAAAUUAAAUACGACAAUAAUAGCUAACAUUCGUCAAGUGCAUGCAAUGAACCAAGCAUUUUGUGUGUGUUACUUAAUUUAAUUAGAAAUGACCCUUCGAGAUAGGGAUUUAAACGACAAAACUCCUGUCUUACAGAUGAAGACACUGAGGUUCAGAGAGGCUCAGAGUCCUGUGCGGUGCCACAAAUCCAGAGCGUCUCAGAGCCGGGGUUCAAGGCUCAGGUGAGCCCAUCUGCAAGAAAGAUACUGGACACAUGUGCCAAAGCCCCCGCUGGACAUGAGGAGCUGCAAAGAUGUGGAGCCCCAACGCCUCAGGUCGAGGGAACCAGCUGGCUGCUCCGUGGAAGUGGACUUCUGCCUGUGACCCCAGGUGACCCCGCGUGAUGGUGUAGCAGAGCCUCGCCGUGCCCCUAGGCACCCCUCAUCUCUAGUCUCACCAUCGGGGCUGUUGCACAGGAAGCAGCUGCGCCUAUUUCUGAACAAGCCUUUGAGUAAAUACAUUUUCUUUACUCUUGGGAAUGGAAUG
rnacentral:lncRNA from 1 species